rnacentral:pre_miRNA from 1 species
UUAGUACUCCAUCCAUCCGUGAAAGCUUGUCCCAAGAUUGUCCCUCAAAUGGAUGUAUCUGGCACAAACUUGGUGCUAGAUAUAUCCAUUUGGGGGACAAGUUUUUUCGGAUGGAGGGAGUACUAC